rnacentral:rRNA from 1 species
AUUGAACGCUGGCGGCAUGCCUUACACAUGCAAGUCGAACGGCAGCGCGGGAGCAAUCCUGGCGGCGAGUGGCGAACGGGUGAGUAAUAUAUCGGAACGUGCCCAGUAGCGGGGGAUAACGCAGCGAAAGCUGUGCUAAUACCGCAUACGCACUACGGUGGAAGGAGGGGGAUCGCAAGACCUCUCACUAUUGGAGCGGCCGAUAUCAGAUUAGCUUGUUGGCGGGGUAAAAGCCCACCAAGGCGACGAUCUGUAGCUGGUUUGAGAGAACGACCAGCCACACUGGGGCUGAGACACGGCCCAGACUCCUACGGGAGGCAGCAGUGGGGAAUUUUGGACAAUGGGCGAAAGCCUGAUCCAGCCAUGCCGCGUGCGGGAAGAAGGCCUUCGGGUUGUAAACCGCUUUUGUCAGGGAAGAAAUCCUUUGAGUUAAUACCUCGGGGGGAUGACGGUACCUGAAGAAUAAGCACCGGCUAACUACGUGCCAGCCGCCGCCGUAC